rnacentral:lncRNA from 1 species
GAAAACUGACACCGUUGAUGGGGAAGGAGCCGCUGCUGCUGGCCGGAGAAGGAGACCGUGGGUCUGAGGCGAUGGGAACAGCCCUGCCCGUUCCCUGGUCGGUGGAGAGGAGCUGGGUCCGUCGGCUGUGAGCAGAAGCUGCCGCUGCUGGAGGUCGGCUGAAGGAGAGGAGGCUGGGUCGGGUCUGUCGAGAAAAUGAGCGAAAAUAGAGAGGGGCUGUUCGGUUUCUGUGGAGGAGAAGGAAGGCUGCUGUGGUUGAUUUGUGAGGGAGGCGGCGCCGGAGAAGACGCUGGCAGUGGGAUCGUCCAGGGGGAUUGGAAGAAGCAAAAAAAAAUUCUUGAAAAG